rnacentral:ncRNA from 1 species
GUUUAUCACAGGCAAACCCUACGAAAGCAGGGGACGCAAAGUCAUUGGGUCUAAGUCUAUUCUCCUAAAUCGAGAAAGAUACGACAGCCAGACUGCCGAA